AAAAACAUGAGUUUUUUCUCACGACCAAAAAAAAACAUGACUCCUCUCUCUCUCUCGAUUGCGAUCAAAGAAGCUGAUGAACAAACGCCGAUUUCGUGAGAUUCCGAUGAGUCUAUGCUGGAAUCGUGGUAUGUGAGACUUACCUACCGCCGGAAUCAUCAGCGAGAUAGACGGUUAAGACUAUCGGCGAAUGGAGUCAAAACGAAUCGAAGAUUGGCGAUGGAGAAGAAGGAUUCGUUGAAGGAUGGUCCAAUUUCUUGUUCCAGCAAGAUCAGUUUCAUACUCUUCCUCGCCGACAAUGAUCCCACCACCGGUCAAAGCUGGUGUCCAGGUCUCUAUCACUCUCUUAGGGGUUUCUCAAUUUUCGUCCAAUUUCGAUCGAUUUCAUCUUCUCGAUCGAAUCAAUGGUUUUGAUUGGUGAAUCAGACUGUGUUAGAGUUGAACAUGUGAUUUACAAGACUUUAGAGGAAUUUCCAGAGGAGGAGAAUCUUAUUCCUGCUUACGCCGGUGACAUACCGGCGUAGAGAACUCCGACGCAUUCGUGGAGAGUUGACUCUGUUAAGGGACGGCUUGAGGAUCAUCAAGCUCACCUGAUUCUGCCCCUUCUUGCGCCAUCCACUUGAUUCGUUCGAUUUCUCGAGACUAUGGUGAGAUUGAGGAUUUCUUUGUGUUGUUUUCCAAUAAGUCAUCAUUCAUCUGCUGGGAAUUGCUUUCAUCUCUGCUUAACAACUCUCUUAAUCUAGAAACUCUCAUCAUCAAGUUAUUAUACAAAAGCAGUUAUAUGUUGGAGGUCGGGGACGUUUCCAACUUUCCAUUGUGUGAUGGGAGUCAUGUGAAGCACAACAAAGCUAAUAAUGGAGAUAACGUUGGUCCUCUUCUUCUCAAUAACUAAAUCAUUUGUGUCUCACAUACAAUAUUGGCGCCAAGGCUCGCUCUUGACUUGUAUCAGUAUCAGGACAGUGAUGCUUGGCCAUAACCAUGAUCUCACAUUGGCUGCUCAAGAAACACUAGCAAAGUUGGUUAGAGUGAGAAGCAAGAUUUGAAACUACACUCAAACAUUUCUCCUGGUUAUUAUUUCCACAUUACUACUCUAAACUCAGUUUUGUUGAAGACAUCAAAUCAUGUAAUGGGUACUUUAAACCUUUUUAGAACAAUCUUAUUCCUAUGUACAUUACCAUCUUCCUUAAUGAUCAUAGUCUUAUUUUAA